AAAGAUAAAGGAAAACCAGGGGUAGCUGGAGCCUGGAAAGAAAGAAAAUCAGGAUCUUUAUUUAUUUAUAUGCUUACACACUUCCAUACCUUCAGAAAAUAAUUAACUGCAUAGAAUAGACUAAGAAAUGAAACAGAAACAGAGCAAACAAGUAACCACUUUUCUGCUCCAACAAAAAAAAAUUUCUAUAAACCAUUAUAAUUGAAUGCAUACAUUGCAAGUAUACAGGCAAAAACAUACUUUUUACCUGUAUGAGAUGAGAUUUAGAAAUCAGCCUUCUCAAUCGAAAAAUGAACCAAAUUGUUAAACCCUAGAUCUCUGCUCUGCAACCAAGUUGGGAAUGAAGUAUUCAAGUGUAUGAAUCAACUCCAUUGUCAAGAACAAAACAUUAAUCUGAGAUAUACAGGCAGCUUGUAGAAUAUCCUUUCUGGGUAUUAUGUAUUGCCCAAAUGGGUAUCUAAAUCAAUCAGGAACCACAGAAAAUCACCUUAAUUUAAGGAGAUGGCAAAAGAAAUACUCUUUUUUGAAGCUGAAGGGAAUUGCAGGGAACACAUAACAAAGCACAUGGAAUUCUGGGAUGUGAGGAAUGGUGGUGAUAAUAUGAAGGUAUGGACUUAUCAGAGGUAGGUAUAAUGCCUUACAUAUAGCAGUAAAACGUAAGCAUGUCCAAAAAUUAAAAAAGGAAAAGAAAAAAGAAGAAGAAGAAGAAGAAAAGAAUCAAACUUUUGCCAUUUCAAAAUUGACACUUGAAGGUGACUAUCACUGAUUACCAGAAACUGAAUUUAAUAUAGAACUUUAUAGCUUUUCAAAGAAG
rnacentral:lncRNA from 1 species